rnacentral:rRNA from 1 species
CCUACGGGGUGCAGCAGUGAGGAAUAUUGGUCAAUGGACGCAAUUCUGAACCAGCCAUGCCGCGUGCAGGAAGACGGCUCUAUUAGUUGUAAACUGCUUUUGUACGAGGGUAAACGCAGAUACGCGUCUCUGUCUGAAAGUCUCGUACGAAUAAGGAUCGGCUAACUCCGUGCCAGCAGCCGCGGUAAUACGGAGGAUUCAAGCGUUAUCCGGAUUUAUUGGGUUUAAAGGGUGCGUAGGCGGUCGGAUAAGUUAGAGGUGAAAUCCCGAGGCUCAACUUCGGAAUUGCCUCUGAUACUGUGCGGCUAGAGAGUAGUGGCGGUAGGCGGAAUGUAUGGUGUAGCGGUGAAAUGCGUAGAGAUCAUAAAGAACACCGAUUGCGAAGGCAGCUUACCAAGCUACUUCUGACGUUGAGGCACGAAAGCGUGGGGAGCAAACAGGAUUAGAUACCCCUGUAGUC